rnacentral:rRNA from 1 species
CAGCCGCCGCGGUAAUACCGGCGGCCCGAGUGGCGGUCACUAUUAUUGGGCUUAAAGCGUCCGGAGCCGGGUUGGGAAGUCCUCCGGGAAAUCUGGCCGCUUAACGGUCCGAAUGCCGGAGGAUACUCCCAGCCUAGGGAGCGGGAGAGGCCGAGGGGAUUCCCGGAGUAGGGGUGAAAUCCUAUAAUCCCGGGAGGGCCACCUGUGGCGAAGGCGCUCGGCUGGAACGCGUCCGACGGUGAGGGACGAAGGCCAGGGGAGCAAACCGGAUUAGAUACCCGGGUAGUCCUGGCUGUAAACGAUGCGGACGUUGUGUCGGACAAGCUAUGAGCUUGUCCGGUGCCGGAGGGAAACCGUUAAGUCCGCCGCCUGGGGAGUACGGCCGCAAGGCUGAAACUUAAAGGAGUUGGCGGG